rnacentral:rRNA from 1 species
CUACCCUUGACAUGGUCGGAAUCCUGAAGAGAUUUGGGAGUGCUCGAAAGAGAACCGAUACACAGGUGCUGCAUGGCUGUCGUCAGCUCGUGUCGUGAGAUGUUGGGUUAAGUCCCGCAACGAGCGCAACCCUUGUCAUUAAUUGCCAUCAUUUAGUUGGGCACUUUAAUGAGACUGCCGGUGAUAAACCGGAGGAAGGUGGGGAUGACGUCAAGUCCUCAUGGCCCUUAUGGGUAGGGCUUCACACGUAAUAAAAUGGUCGGUACAGAGGGUUGCCAACCCGCGAGGGGGAGCUAAUCUCAGAAAGCCGAUCGUAGUCCGGAUUGUUCUCUGCAACUCGAGAGCAUGAAGUCGGAAUCGCUAGUAAUCGCGGAUCAGCAUGUCGCGGUGAAUACGUUCCC